UGGGGAAUAUUGGACAAUGGGCGCAAGCCUGAUCCAGCCAUACCGCGUGGGUGAAGAAGGCCUUCGGGUUGUAAAGCCCUUUUGUUGGGAAAGAAAAGCAGUCGAUUAAUACUCGGUUGUUCUGACGGUACCCAAAGAAUAAGCACCGGCUAACUUCGUGCCAGCAGCCGCGGUAAUACGAAGGGUGCAAGCGUUACUCGGAAUUACUGGGCGUAAAGCGUGCGUAGGUGGUUGUUUAAGUCUGUUGUGAAAGCCCUGGGCUCAACCUGGGAAUUGCAGUGGAUACUGGGCGACUAGAGUGUGGUAGAGGGUAGUGGAAUUCCCGGUGUAGCAGUGAAAUGCGUAGAGAUCGGGAGGAACAUCCAUGGCGAAGGCAGCUACCUGGACCAACACUGACACUGAGGCACGAAAGCGUGGGGAGCAAACAGGAUUAGAUACCCUGGUAGUCCACGCCCUAAACGAUGCGAACUGGAUGUUGGGUGCAAUUUGGCACGCAGUAUCGAAGCUAACGCGUUAAGUUCGCCGCCUGGGGAGUACGGUCGCAAGACUG
rnacentral:rRNA from 2 species